CCUACGGGAGGCAGCAGUGGGGAAUAUUGGGCAAUGGGCGCAAGCCUGACCCAGCAACGCCGCGUGAAGGAAGAAGGCUUUCGGGUUGUAAACUUCUUUUCUCAGGGACGAAGAAAGUGACGGUACCUGAGGAAUAAGCCACGGCUAACUACGUGCCAGCCGCCGCGGUAAUACGUAGGUGGCAAGCGUGAUCCGGAUUUACUGGGUGUAAAGGGCGUGUAGGCGGGGAAGCAAGUCAGAUGUGAAAACCACGGGCUCAACCUGUGGCCUGCAUGUGAAACUGUUUUUCUUGAGUACUGGAGAGGCAGACGGAAUUCCUAGUGUAGCGGUGAAAUGCGUAGAUAUUAGGAGGAACACCAGUGGCGAAGGCGGUCUGCUGGACAUUAACUGACGCUGAGGCACGAAGGCCAGGGGAGCGAAAGGGAUUAGAUACCCGUGUAGUC
rnacentral:rRNA from 1 species